rnacentral:rRNA from 1 species
UACGGAGGGUGCAAACGUUGCUCGGAAUUAUUGGGCGUAAAGCGCGUGUAGGCUGUCUCGAAAGUCGGAUGUGAAAGCCCUGGGCUCAACCUAGGAAGUGCAUUCGAAACUUCGAGACUCGAGUCCUGGAGAGGAUCGCGGAAUUCUCGGUGUAGAGGUGAAAUUCGUAGAUAUCGAGAGGAACACCGGUGGCGAAGGCGGCGAUCUGGACAGUGACUGACGCUGAGACGCGAAAGCGUGGGGAGCAAACAGG